GUUGAACGCUGGCGGCGUGCUUAACACAUGCAAGUCGAACGGUGAAGCAGCGCUUGCUCCUUGGAUCAGGGGCGAACGGGUGUGUAACACGUGAGCAAGCUGCGCCUGGGGCUGUGAUAAGCGCUGGAAACGGCGUCUACUACAUGAUAUCUGCGGCUGACACCGGGUGAGCAGAUGGAAAGAUUUUUCUGUCUGGGAUGGUCUCACGGCCUAUCAGUUUGUUGGUGAGGUAUUGGCUCACCAAGGCACAGACGGGGAGCCGGCCUGAGGGGGUGACCGGCCACACUGGGACUGAGACACGGACCAGACUCCUACGGGAGGCAACAGUGGGGAGUAUUGCACAGUGGGCGCGAGCGUAAUGCAGCAACGCCGCGUGAGGGAUGACGGCCUGCGGGUUGUAAACCUGUUUUAGCAAGGAAGCAGCGAAAGCGACGGUACCUGCAGAAAAAGCGCCGGCUAACUACGUG
rnacentral:rRNA from 1 species